UCAAGAGGACCUUUACUGUGUCUAUGUGCCGACCAACCAUCUCUACAUUGGUGAUAUCUUCAUGGUGAACUCGAAGGAUGUGAUAAGGCCUAAUCUUUCUGUGCGUGAAGGCAUUGAGAUCGUUGUGUCUGGUGGUAUGUCAAUGCCCCAGAUUUUGUCGACCCUGGAUCCACAUCCAGAUCUGCAUGCAAUCCACACAGACCGAGGUGGAGCGAGCAGAAGCUGAGGCAAACUAUAUACCUGUUCGUCGAUAUCAAGUGUAAAACUCUCAACACAGAUCACACCAGUGCGGCGAACAAGAUCCUGAGCGUGAUGCACUAGCAAUCUGUCACGCCUGAGGAUCAAAGGAUCUUGUAAUUAAGUAGAAGUAGGUAACUCACACGCAUUGUCGAUUCGAUGGAUUUUGUACAAUUGGCUUGGACUUUGUCUUUGUAAUGCCGCCCCAGAUGCUUCCUAGCCAUACUUAUAUUUUCUUACGGUUGUUCAAUUGUUUUCUUCCGGUUGUUUCGGAGUCCAAAUUAGCUUUCGGCAUCAACAAUGUCUGACUGAGGUGCCUUACUGUAAAAGAAAACGAUGCCUGCCUGAGUUGUCUUA